AAGGGCGUUCCGCAGACGGCUAUACGGGCUUGCCUUGGGAGCAAGUGUUCGCGAGUUCGAAUCUCGCCGCCCUUA
rnacentral:tRNA from 1 species